rnacentral:rRNA from 1 species
GACGAAGGUGGCUAGCGUUGCUCGGAUUUACUGGGCAUAAAGCGCGCGUAGGUGGUCGUGUAAGCGGGGGAUGAAAGCCCAUGGCUCACCCAUGGAACUGUCCCCCGGACUGCACGGCUCGAGGAAGGAAGGGGAGAAUGGAAUUCCCGGUGUAGCGGUGAAAUGCGUAGAUAUCGGGAGGAACGCCGGUGGCGAAAGCGGCGUUCUGGACUGCAACUGACACUGAGGAACGAAAGCCAGGGGAGCAAACGGG